UACGUAGGUGGCAAGCGUUGUCCGGAUUUAUUGGGCGUAAAGAGCUCGUAGGCGGCUUGUUGCGUCGACUGUGAAAACCCGCGGCUUAACUGCGGGCUUGCAGUUGAUACGGGCAGGCUAGAGUUCGGUAGGGGAGACUGGAAUUCCUGGUGUAGCGGUGAAAUGCGCAGAUAUCAGGAGGAACACCGGUGGCGAAGGCGGGUCUCUGGGCCGAUACUGACGCUGAGGAGCGAAAGCGUGGGGAGCGAACAGG
rnacentral:rRNA from 1 species